rnacentral:lncRNA from 1 species
CAGGUUGCGUUGUCUCCUUAAGUUAUAUGAAUUGAACCUGCAUUAAAAAAAAGAGGAAAAAUUUGUGCAUAGCAUUAUUCAUGAAAGUGGCGUAAUUAGAAAGCUAUGAUCAUAGAAUUAAAGCUUUACACUGACAUCGGUUCUUACGAAUCUGGCGCAACAACAAAGAAAAAAAACCAACUGCAAUUCUGCGAAUGUUCACAUGGCGAGAACUGAUAAAUUCAAAUCGGUAUUACCUAAACUUGAAAGCGAAUCUCUUU